rnacentral:lncRNA from 1 species
UCUCUUGGCUAUUUGCGUCUCUCAGGUCUCUGCCAAAUGUUGCUACCACGGUCUAUCAUUCUCUGUUGCCUACAAGGGUUUUUAAAGACCUCAAACACAACCCAAAUCCGAGUACUAUCCGUCACAGGACUCCUAAUAGCACCCAGGAAGCCAUUGAACCAUCAGAUCACAACCGACUCAUCUUUGGACUAUCAGAUUUCGCUCUCCCACAGUUCGAUCCAUGAUAACUUCUAAACCACGAGAAACGCACCUGGAAUCGCAUUUGGUCCACCAUGGACCACACGAAACCUAGGGG